UACAGAGGGUGCGAGCGUUAAUCGGAAUUACUGGGCGUAAAGCGUGCGUAGACGGUUAUUUAAGUCGGGUGUGAAAGCCCCGGGCUCAACCUGGGAAUUGCAUUCGAGACUGAAUAGCUAGGGUACGGUAGAGGGAAGCGGAAUUUCCGGUGUAGCGGUGAAAUGCGUAGAUAUCCGAAGGAACAUCAGUGGCGAAAGCGGCUUCCUGGACCAGAACUGACGAUCAGGCACGAAAGCGUGGGGAGCAAACAGG
rnacentral:rRNA from 1 species